CAGCCUGAUGCAGCCAUGCCGCGUGUGUGAGAAGGCCUUCGGGUUGUAAAGCACUUUCAGCGGGGAGGAAGGCGGUGAGGUUAAUAACCUUAUCGAUUGACGUUACCCGCAGAAGAAGCACCGGCUAACUCCGUGCCAGCAGCCGCGGUAAUACGGAGGGUGCAAGCGUUAAUCGGAAUUACUGGGCGUAAAGCGCACGCAGGCGGUCUGUCAAGUCGGAUGUGAAAUCCCCGGGCUCAACCUGGGAACUGCAUUCGAAACUGGCAGGCUAGAGUCUUGUAGAGGGGGGUAGAAUUCCAGGUGUAGCGGUGAAAUGCGUAGAGAUCUGGAGGAAUACCGGUGGCGAAGGCGGCCCCCUGGACAAAGACUGACGCUCAGGUGCGAAAGCGUGGGGAGCAAACAGGAUUAGAUACC
rnacentral:rRNA from 1 species